GAAUCUGUCCGUUGGUCGGGCUUCACUGUCCGUACUGGUGUGGUGGGUUCUUACCUUCUGAAUAACCAGCAUGCCAUUCACUUGGUGCGCUGGGGAAGCAGGACUAUUACCUUGAAAAAAUUAGAGUGCUCAAAGCAGGCUAGUGCCUGAAUACAUUAGCAUGGAAUAAUAAAAUAGGACGGCAUGGUUCUAUUUUGUUGGUUUCUAGGAUUGACGUA
rnacentral:rRNA from 1 species